UUGAUUGGGUACGUACGUGUUUGGA
rnacentral:piRNA from 1 species